rnacentral:rRNA from 1 species
UAUGUGAUCGUCUCUCGCAUAUCAAUAAGCGGAGGAAAAGAAACUAACAAGGAUUCCCCUAGUAACGGCGAGUGAAGCGGGAAGAGCUCAAAUUUGAAAUCUUAAAGGGUUUCCCUUUACGAAUUGUAGUUUAAAGAAGUGUUUUCUGUUGAGGUUUUGGUAAAAGUUCUUUGGAAUAGGACAUCAUAGAGGGUGAGAAUCCCGUAUUUGACCUUUACUUUCAACUUUGUGAUACACUUUCAAAGAGUCGGAUUGUUUGGGAAUGCAGUCCAAAAUGGGUGGUAAAUUUCAUCUAAAGCUAAAUAUUGGCGAGAGACCGAUAGCGAACAAGUACCGUGAGGGAAAGAUGAAAAGAACUUUGAAAAGAGAGUUAAACAGUACGUGAAAUUGUCAAAAGGGAAGCGUUUGACACCAGUGUUGUUUUUCUGAAAAUCAAUUAAAGAACUGUUUAUGCUAAGUUGUUUAGACUUUAUCAGCUAUCUGUUUAGUUUUGAGCUUUUCUUUAAUGCACUUUUCAGUUAACAAGUCAACAUCAAUUUCUUUUGCUGUAAAAAAGCUUGAGGAAGGUGGCUUGAGAUUCGUCUUAAGUGUUUAUAGCCUCUUGCCUAUGCAGUCGGAGAGAUUGAGGUCUGCAGCGUAGAUCCUUCGGGGCUAAAUGCAUUUGUGCUAAGUUAUAGCAUUUUAUAGACAACUUGUUGACUAUGAUUUGUCUUGUAGCUUACUCGCUUAUGUUAUUUUACCUACGCUUAGGAUGUUGACUGAUAUGUAGUCGUA